UACAGAGGGUGCGAGCGUUGUCCGGAAUCACUGGGCGUAAAGGGCGCGUAGGUGGCUUGUUAAGCGUGUGGUGAAAGCCUGGGGCUCAACCCCAGGUCUGCCGUGCGAACUGGCAAGCUUGAGCGUAGUAGAGGCAGGUGGAAUUUCGGGUGUAGCGGUGGAAUGCGUAGAUAUCCGAAAGAACACCGGUGGCGAAGGCGGCCUGCUGGGCUACUGCUGACACUGAUGCGCGACAGCGUGGGGAGCAAACAGG
rnacentral:rRNA from 1 species